rnacentral:rRNA from 1 species
AUUGAACGCUGGCGGCAUGCCUUACACACGCAAGUCGAACGGCAGCACGGGUGCUUGCACCUGGUGGCGAGCGGCGAACGGGUGAGUAAUACAUCGGAACGUACCUUAUCGUGGGGGAUAACGCAGCGAAAGCUGUGCUAAUACCGCAUACGCCCUGAGGGGGAAAGCGGGGGAUCGCAAGACCUCGCGCGAUUAGAGCGGCCGAUGCCUGAUUAGCUUGUUGGUGGGGUAAAGGCCCACCAAGGCGACGAUCAGUAGCUGGUCUGAGAGGACGAUCAGCCACACUGGGACUGAGACACGGCCCAGACUCCUACGGGAGGCAGCAGUGGGGAAUUUUGGACAAUGGGGGCAACCCUGAUCCAGCAAUGCCGCGUGAGUGAAGAAGGCCUUCGGGUUGUAAAGCUCUUUUGUCAGGGAAGAAACACCGGCUCUAACACAGUCCGGGAAUGACGGUACCUGAAGAAUAAGCACCGGCUAACUACGUGCCAGCCGCCGCCGUAA